GAUGAACGCUGGCGGCGUGCCUAAUACAUGCAAGUCGAGCGAACAGACGAGGAGCUUGCUCCUCUGACGUUAGCGGCGGACGGGCGAGUAACACGUGGAUAACCUACCUAUAAGACUGGGAUAACUUCGGGAAACCGGAGCUAAUACCGGAUAAUAUAUUGAACCGCAUGGUUCAAUAGUGAAAGACGGCUUUGCUGUCACAUAUAGAUGGAUCCGCGCCGCAUUAGCUAGUUGGUAAGGUAACGGCUUACCAAGGCAACGAUGCGUAGCCGACCUGAGAGGGUGAUCGGCCACACUGGAACUGAGACACGGUCCAGACUCCUACGGGAGGCAGCAGUAGGGAAUCUUCCGCAAUGGGCGAAAGCCUGACGGAGCAACGCCGCGUGAGUGAUGAAGGUCUUCGGAUCGUAAAACUCUGUUAUUAGGGAAGAACAAAUGUGUAAGUAACUAUGCACGUCUUGACGGUACCUAAUCAGAAAGCCACGGCUAACUACGUG
rnacentral:rRNA from 1 species